AAAAAUCUUAUAUAUAUAUAUUUUUUUGGCUUUAACGUCGUACAACCAUUAUUCAAUUGUAGAGUAGUGAAAAAAUUCCUGUCCAAUUCGGUGUAGUGCCCAAAAGUUUGGGUCAGUUAGCUUCAGUACGUGUACUGGGAAACGCGUUUUUAUCGAAACAGAAUUUAUGAAUUCAUGGAACGUUGAUAGUACGAGUUCUUAAAAUCAACGUCUCUUGAAAAGGAUGAAGAUUGGUCAUUGGCCUGUCUCAUAAAAUCUUUGGUUCAAGCAGCAACGUGCAAAAGCAAAAAAGAGCAAAAUGCUGAGAGCUAUGUCAUAAAUGAGAAAAUAUAGUAAAAAGCUUCCGAAAAGCUCAUGGCUUUUAUGGACGCAACAGAAAAUUCGCUUCGGCGAAAACAAAACUUGUAUUUUAAAAUAAAUAUAAAAUUAUUUUAAA